GAUGAACGCUGGCGGCGUGCCUAAUACAUGCAAGUCGAGCGAACAGACGAGGAGCUUGCUCCUCUGACGUUAGCGGCGGACGGGUGAGUAACACGUGGAUAACCUACCUAUAAGACUGGGAUAACUUCGGGAAACCGGAGCUAAUACCGGAUAAUAUAUUGAACCGCAUGGUUCAAUAGUGAAAGACGGUUUUGCUGUCACUUAUAGAUGGAUCCGCGCCGCAUUAGCUGGUUGGUAAGGUAACGGCUUACCAAGGCAACGAUGCGUAGCCGACCUAAGAGGGGGAUCGGCAGCAGGGAACAGAGGAAGCGGCCCGACCCCGAAGGGGAGAAACGGGUGGGAAUCCUUCGGCAAGGGGCAAAGGCGUAACGUGGAAACGCGGCGUAAGUAUGAAGGUUCUACGAAUCGUAAACCAUGUUUUUAAGGGAGUAGCAAAGUUGUAGGAACCAAGAAGCUUCUGACGGUAACUGAAUAAAAAGCCCCGGCUAACUACGUG
rnacentral:rRNA from 1 species